GGGUUGUGAGGUUAAGCGACUAAGCGUACACGGUGGAUGCCCUGGCAGUCAGAGGCGAUGAAGGACGUGCUAAUCUGCGAUAAGCGUCGGUAAGGUGAUAUGAACCGUUAUAACCGGCGAUUUCCGAAUGGGGAAACCCAGUGUGUUUCGACACACUAUCAUUAACUGAAUCCAUAGGUUAAUGAGGCGAACCGGGGGAACUGAAACAUCUAAGUACCCCGAGGAAAAGAAAUCAACCGAGAUUCCCCCAGUAGCGGCGAGCGAACGGGGAGCAGCCCAGAGCCUGAAUCAGUGUGUGUGUUAGUGGAAGCGUCUGGAAAGGCGCGCGAUACAGGGUGACAGCCCCGUACACAAAAAUGCACAUGCUGUGAGCUCGAUGAGUAGGGCGGGACACGUGGUAUCCUGUCUGAAUAUGGGGGGACCAUCCUCCAAGGCUAAAUACUCCUGACUGACCGAUAGUGAACCAGUACCGUGAGGGAAAGGCGAAAAGAACCCCGGCGAGGGGAGUGAAAAAGAACCUGAAACCGUGUACGUACAAGCAGUGGGAGCACGCUUCGGCGUGUGACUGCGUACCUUUUGUAUAAUGGGUCAGCGACUUAUAUUCUGUAGCAAGGUUAACCGAAUAGGGGAGCCGAAGGGAAACCGAGUCUUAACUGGGCGUUAAGUUGCAGGGUAUAGACCCGAAACCCGGUGAUCUAGCCAUGGGCAGGUUGAAGGUUGGGUAACACUAACUGGAGGACCGAACCGACUAAUGUUGAAAAAUUAGCGGAUGACUUGUGGCUGGGGG
rnacentral:rRNA from 1 species